rnacentral:rRNA from 1 species
UGUCGUCAGCUCGUGUUGUGAAAUGUUGGGUUAAGUCCCGCAACGAGCGCAACCCUUAUCCUUUGUUGCCAGCGGUCCGGCCGGGAACUCAAAGGAGACUGCCAGUGAUAAACUGGAGGAAGGUGGGGAUGACGUCAAGUCAUCAUGGCCCUUACGACCAGGGCUACACACGUGCUACAAUGGCGCAUACAAAGAGAAGCGAC